rnacentral:rRNA from 1 species
GCCAACGGCCAUACCACGUUGAACACACCAGUUCUCGUCCGAUCACUGAAAUUAAGCAACGUCGGGCUCGGUUAGUACUUGGAUGGGUGACCGCCUGGGAACCCCGGGUGCUGUUGGUA